GCGCCGGUGGUGUAAAGGCGUAGAGCAUUCCCGCACGAUCAGAAGGAGGUGCGGGUUCGAGUCCCGCCUUGCGCU
rnacentral:tRNA from 1 species